GUGCUCCCUUCAUAGGCACAUAUGCCAAAAUUGGAAUGAUAGAGCGAUCAUCACGGCCCCUCCACAAAGAUCACACACAAAUUCCUGAAGAGUGUCGUAUUUUA
ensembl:snRNA U6 U6 spliceosomal RNA